rnacentral:lncRNA from 1 species
UGAAUGGUCCGUCGUAUGCUUUUCCGAUCUUUUGAUUCCUACUUUUUGUUUAAUUUUAGGAUGAGGUAAUCAAUUGGAUCGGGUUCAAGCAGGUAUUCAUUUAUUAUUUUACACUUUAUUUGCUUCUUUACCUUUAUUAUUAAGAAUUAUUUAUUUAUUUUUCGAAUUUAAAAAUUUAAAUCAUAUUUUUU